rnacentral:rRNA from 1 species
AGAGUUUGAUCAUGGCUCAGAAUGAACGCUGGCGGCGUGCUUAACACAUGCAAGUCGAACGGUAGCAGGGACUUCGGUCUGCUGACGAGUGGCGCACGGGUGAGUAAUAUAUAGGUAAUGUGCCCCUUAGUCUGGGAUAGCCACUGGAAACGGUGAUUAAUACCGGAUACUCCUUCUGAUUUAAUGUCAGAUGGGAAAGGUUUUUCGCUAAGGGAUCGGCCUAUAUUGUAUCAGUUAGUUGGUGAGGUAAUGGCUCACCAAGACUAUGACACAUAGCGGGUUUGAGAGGAUGAUCCGCCACACUGGUACUGAGACACGGACCAGACUCCUACGGGAGGCAGCAGUGAGGAAUAUUGCACAAUGGGGGAAACCCUGAUGCAGCAACGCCGCGUGGAGGAUGACGCAUUUCGGUGUGUAAACUCCUUUUAUCAGAGAAGAAAAUGACGGUAUCUGAUGAAUAAGUCCCGGCUAACUCCGUGCCAGCAGCCGCGGUAAUACGGAGGGGACAAGCGUUAUUCGGAAUCACUGGGCGUAAAGGACGCGUAGGCGGGUUUUUAAGUCAGGUGUGAAAUCCUACAGCUCAACUGUAGAACUGCACUUGAAACUGGGAACCUAGAGUAUGGAAGGGGCAGGUGGAAUUAGUGGUGUAGGGGUAAAAUCCGUAGAUAUCCUAGGAAUACCGAAAGCGAAGACGACCUGCUGGGACAUUACUGACGCUGAGGCGUGAAAGCGUGGGGAGCAAACAGGAUUAGAUACCCUAGUAGUCC